GUGCUUACUCGGUAGCACGCAAAUGUCCUGCCAGUGAUUUAAGCUGUGUGUUGGACUUACAAACAACCGUUAUGUGAACAAAACUAUAAUACUCUCCUUAGCAACUUUGUUGCGAGAGCAUUAGACGUUUGAUUUUGUUUGUCGUACGAACAGCUGCUGAAAAGGAUAACGUAUUUUUGAAAAGUUUUUUGACGAUUUCGAGUUUCAGGCUCAAUAGCAUAAGGUGACUGAAAUAAUAAAGAUAUCCCGGUCGGAAGUGGCAGCUAAAUGCGGCCCUUAGGCGUAUAAGUCACACUAAAAGUGAACACGGAGCUGGAAGAACGACCACGAUGAGCCCGUUUAAGUUUCUAGAGCCGACUUUGCGUGCUGAAGCGGAAUCCACUUCAAAUCUAAUAAAUGUGAAUAGUUGUUAUUAUAGGACAGUCCAUCGGCCUCGAGCUCUCCAACAACAUUCUUGGAGUCGGAAAUUAUACCUGGUGAUAUAACAUCAACGCCAUCCACAUCACAUGGUAAUUUAGGAAGACGUCGAGUGCAAAAAGACGAUGAUAAGUAUACUCAAGUAAUUGAAAGUAUUCAUAUGUAUGUAUGUGCAACAGUUUAAAUCUUAUACAUAUAUAACAAGUAAGGAAGGGCUAAG